GACGAACGCUGGCGGCGUGCUUAACACAUGCCAGUCGAACGGAAAGGCCCUGCUUUUGUGGGGUGCUCGAGUGGCGAACGGGUGAGUAACACGUGAGUAACCUGCCCUUGACUUUGGGAUAACUUCAGGAAACUGGGGCUAAUACCGGAUAGGAGCUCCUGCUGCAUGGUGGGGGUUGGAAAGUUUCGGCGGUUGGGGAUGGACUCGCGGCUUAUCAGCUUGUUGGUGGGGUAGUGGCUUACCAAGGCUUUGACGGGUAGCCGGCCUGAGAGGGUGACCGGCCACAUUGGGACUGAGAUACGGCCCAGACUCCUACGGGAGGCAGCGGUGGGGAGUAUUGCACAGUGGGCGGAAGCCUGAUGCAGCAACGCCGCGUGCGGGAUGACGGCCUUCGGGUUGUAAACCGCUUUCGCCUGUGACGAAGCGUGAGUGACGGUAAUGAGUAAAGAAGCACCGGCUAACUACGUG
rnacentral:rRNA from 1 species